rnacentral:rRNA from 1 species
AUGAACGCUAGCGACAGGCUUAACACAUGCAAGUCGAGGGGCAGCGGGGGUAGCGAUACCCGCCGGCGACCGGCGCACGGGUGAGUAACGCGUAUGCAACUUGCCUAUCAGAGGGGGAUAACCCGGCGAAAGUCGGACUAAUACCGCAUGAAGCAGGGGCCCCGCAUGGGGAUAUUUGCUAAAGAUUCAUCGCUGAUAGAUAGGCAUGCGUUCCAUUAGGCAGUUGGCGGGGUAACGGACCACCAAACCGACGAUGGAUAGGGGUUCUGAGAGGAAGGUCCCCCACAUUGGUACUGAGACACGGACCAAACUCCUACGGGAGGCAGCAGUGAGGAAUAUUGGUCAAUGGGCGUAAGCCUGAACCAGCCAAGUCGCGUGAGGGAUGAAGGUUCUAUGGAUCGUAAACCUCUUUUAUAAGGGAAUAAAGUGCGGGACGUGUCCCGUUUUGUAUGUACCUUAUGAAUAAGGAUCGGCUAACUCCGUGCCAGCAGCCGCGGUAAUACGGAGGAUCCGAGCGUUAUCCGGAUUUAUUGGGUUUAAAGGGUGCGUAGGCGGCCUUUUAAGUCAGCGGUGAAAGUCUGUGGCUCAACCAUAGAAUUGCCGUUGAAACUGGGGGGCUUGAGUAUGUUUGAGGCAGGCGGAAUGCGUGGUGUAGCGGUGAAAUGCAUAGAUAUCACGCAGAACCCCGAUUGCGAAGGCAGCCUGCCAAGCCAUUACUGACGCUGAUGCACGAAAGCGUGGGGAUCAAACAGGAUUAGAUACCCUGGUAGUCCACGCAGUAAACGAUGAUCACUAGCUGUUUGCGAUACACUGUAAGCGGCACAGCGAAAGCGUUAAGUGAUCCACCUGGGGAGUACGCCGGCAACGGUGAAACUCAAAGGAAUUGACGGGGGCCCGCACAAGCGGAGGAACAUGUGGUUUAAUUCGAUGAUACGCGAGGAACCUUACCCGGGUUUGAACGCAUUCGGACCGAGGUGGAAACACCUUUUCUAGCAAUAGCCGUUUGCGAGGUGCUGCAUGGUUGUCGUCAGCUCGUGCCGUGAGGUGUCGGCUUAAGUGCCAUAACGAGCGCAACCCUUGCCACUAGUUACUAACAGGUAAAGCUGAGGACUCUGGUGGGACUGCCAGCGUAAGCUGCGAGGAAGGCGGGGAUGACGUCAAAUCAGCACGGCCCUUACAUCCGGGGCGACACACGUGUUACAAUGGCGUGGACAAAGGGAGGCCACCUGGCGACAGGGAGCGAAUCCCCAAACCACGUCUCAGUUCGGAUCGGAGUCUGCAACCCGACUCCGUGAAGCUGGAUUCGCUAGUAAUCGCGCAUCAGCCAUGGCGCGGUGAAUACGUUCCCGGGCCUUGUACACACCGCCCGUCAAGCCAUGGGAGCCGGGGGUACCUGAAGUCCGUAACCGCGAGGAUCGGCCUAGGGUAAAACUGGUGACUGGGGCU